GUUUUGGUAGCCUAAAACAAGGCAUCGGUCUUGUAAACCGAAGACUGAAGGUGAAAACCCUCCCCAAAACA
rnacentral:tRNA from 1 species